GACGAACGCUGGCGGCGUGCCUAAUACAUGCAAGUAGAACGCUGAAGGAGGAGCUUACUUCUCUGGAUGAGUUGCGAACGGGUGAGUAACGCGUAGGUAACCUGCCUGGUAGCGGGGGAUAACUAUUGGAAAAGAUAGCUAAUACCGCAUAAGAGUAGAUGUUGCAUGCCAUUUACUUAAAAGGUGCAAUUGCACCACUACCAGAUGGACUUGGGUUGGAUUAGCUAGUUGGUGGGGUAACGGCUUACCAAGGCGACGAUACAUAACCGACCUGAGAGGGUGAUCGGCCACACUGGGACUGAGACACGGCCCAGACUCCUACGGGAGGCAGCAGUAGGGAAUCUUCGGAAAUGGACGGAAGUCUGACCGAGCAACGCCGCGUGAGUGAAGAAGGUUUUCGGAUCGUAAAGCUCUGUUGUAAGAGAAGAACGAGUGUGAGAGCGGAAAGUUCACACUGUGACGGUAUCUUACCAGAAAGGGACGGCUAACUACGUGCCAGCAGCCGCCGUAA
rnacentral:rRNA from 1 species